UUUUCAGGUUUUUUUGCUAUGAUGGCGUCUGUGCGGAGGAAACGGCGUUUCUUUCCGAUGAGGGGGAUAGCGAUGCCAACUAUGCCGGCAAGGAGAAUAGACGCGAUGGCGAUGAAUUUGAGGACGAGUGCGGCCGAGUCGUCUCGGCAAGCUUCAAGUUCGGAGGAUUGGCACUUCGUAUUAGACAUGAAUUCAGAAAUUCCCUGAAAUAAAGAUUCUGAGAAAGCUCGAGUCUUCAAUCUGAAACGAUCGAGGCAAAGCAACUCCCACAGAUCCU
rnacentral:misc_RNA from 1 species